rnacentral:rRNA from 2 species
GAAUGCUGACAUAAGUAACGAUAAAGCGGGUGAAAAGCCCGCUCGCCGGAAGACCAAGGGUUCCUGUCCAACGUUAAUCGGGGCAGGGUGAGUCGACCCCUAAGGCGAGGCCGAAAGGCGUAGUCGAUGGGAAACGGGUUAAUAUUCCCGUACUUGGUGUUACUGCGAAGGGGGGACGGAGAAGGCUAUGUUGGCCGGGCGACGGUUGUCCCGGUUUAAGCGUGUAGGCUGGUUUUCCAGGCAAAUCCGGAAAAUCAAGGCUGAGGCGUGAUGACGAGGCACUACGGUGCUGAAGCAACAAAUGCCCUGCUUCCAGGAAAAGCCUCUAAGCAUCAGGUAACAUCAAAUCGUACCCCAAACCGACACAGGUGGUCAGGUAGAGAAUACCAAGGCGCUUGAGAGAACUCGGGUGAAGGAACUAGGCAAAAUGGUGCCGUAACUUCGGGAGAAGGCACGCUGACACGUAGGUGAAGUGAUUUACUCAUGGAGCUGAAGUCAGUCGAAGAUACCAGCUGGCUGCAACUGUUUAUUAAAAACACAGCACUGUGCAAACACGAAAGUGGACGUAUACGGUGUGACGCCUGCCCGGUGCCGGAAGGUUAAUUGAUGGGGUCAGCGCAAGCGAAGCUCCUGAUCGAAGCCCCGGUAAACGGCGGCCGUAACUAUAACGGUCCUAAGGUAGCGAAAUUCCUUGUCGGGUAAGUUCCGACCUGCACGAAUGGCGUAAUGAUGGCCAGGCUGUCUCCACCCGAGACUCAGUGAAAUUGAACUCGCUGUGAAGAUGCAGUGUACCCGCGGCAAGACGGAAAGACCCCGUGAACCUUUACUAUAGCUUGACACUGAACAUUGAGCCUUGAUGUGUAGGAUAGGUGGGAGGCUUUGAAGUGUGGACGCCAGUCUGCAUGGAGCCGACCUUGAAAUACCACCCUUUAAUGUUUGAUGUUCUAACGUGGACCCGUUACCCGGGUUGCGGACAGUGUCUGGUGGGUAGUUUGACUGGGGCGGUCUCCUCCUAAAGAGUAACGGAGGAGCACGAAGGUUGGCUAAUCCUGGUCGGACAUCAGGAGGUUAGUGCAAUGGCAUAAGCCAGCUUGACUGCGAGCGUGACGGCGCGAGCAGGUGCGAAAGCAGGUCAUAGUGAUCCGGUGGUUCUGAAUGGAAGGGCCAUCGCUCAACGGAUAAAAGGUACUCCGGGGAUAACAGGCUGAUACCGCCCAAGAGUUCAUAUCGACGGCGGUGUUUGGCACCUCGAUGUCGGCUCAUCACAUCCUGGGGCUGAAGUAGGUCCCAAGGGUAUGGCUGUUCGCCAUUUAAAGUGGUACGCGAGCUGGGUUUAGAACGUCGUGAGACAGUUCGGUCCCUAUCUGCCGUGGGCGCUGGAGAACUGAGGGGGGCUGCUCCUAGUACGAGAGGACCGGAGUGGACGCAUCACUGGUGUUCGGGUUGUCAUGCCAAUGGCACUGCCCGGUAGCUAAAUGCGGAAGAGAUAAGUGCUGAAAGCAUCUAAGCACGAAACUUGCCCCGAGAUGAGUUCUCCCUGAGACUUAGAGUCUCCUGAAGGAACGUUGAAGACGACGACGUUGAUAGGCCGGGUGUGUAAGCGCAGCGAUGCGUUGAGCUAACCGGUACUAAUGAACCGUGAGGCUUAACCUUACAACGCCGAAG